GGCGAAGCGUGCGAUUGGAUUGCACGUCUAAGCAGUAAGGCUGAGUAUUAGGCAAAUCCGGUACUCGUUAAGGCUGAGCUGUGAUGGGGAGAAGACAUUGAGUCUUCGAGUCGUUGAUUUCACACUGCCGAGAAAAGCCUCUAGAUAGAAAAUAGGUGCCCGUACCGCAAACCGACACAGGUAGUCAAGAUGAGAAUUCUAAGGUGAGCGAGCGAACUCUCGUUAAGGAACUCGGCAAAAUGACCCCGUAACUUCGGGAGAAGGGGUGCUCUUUAGGGUUAACGCCCAGAAGAGCCGCAGUGAAUAGGCCCAAGCGACUGUUUAUCAAAAACACAGGUCUCUGCUAAACCGUAAGGUGAUGUAUAGGGGCUGACGCCUGCCCGGUGCUGGAAGGUUAAGAGGAGUGGUUAGCUUCUGCGAAGCUACGAAUCGAAGCCCCAGUAAACGGCGGCCGUAACUAUAACGGUCCUAAGGUAGCGAAAUUCCUUGUCGGGUAAGUUCCGACCCGCACGAAAGGCGUAACGAUUUGGGCACUGUCUCAACGAGAGACUCGGUGAAAUCAUAGUACCUGUGAAGAUGCAGGUUACCCGCGACAGGACGGAAAGACCCCGUGGAGCUUUACUGUAGCCUGAUAUUGAAAUUCGGCACAGCUUGUACAGGAUAGGUAGGAGCCUUUGAAACGUGAGCGCUAGCUUACGUGGAGGCGCUGGUGGGAUACUACCCUAGCUGUGUUGGCUUUCUAACCCGCACCACUUAUCGUGGUGGGAGACAGUGUCAGGCGGGCAGUUUGACUGGGGCGGUCGCCUCCUAAAAGGUAACGGAGGCGCUCAAAGGUUCCCUCAGAAUGGUUGGAAAUCAUUCAUAGAGUGUAAAGGCAUAAGGGAGCUUGACUGCGAGACCUACAAGUCGAGCAGGGUCGAAAGACGGACUUAGUGAUCCGGUGGUUCCGCAUGGAAGGGCCAUCGCUCAACGGAUAAAAGCUACCCCGGGGAUAACAGGCUUAUCUCCCCCAAGAGUUCACAUCGACGGGGAGGUUUGGCACCUCGAUGUCGGCUCAUCGCAUCCUGGGGCUGUAGUCGGUCCCAAGGGUUGGGCUGUUCGCCCAUUAAAGCGGUACGCGAGCUGGGUUCAGAACGUCGUGAGACAGUUCGGUCCCUAUCCGUCGUGGGCGUAGGAAAUUUGAGAGGAGCUGUCCUUAGUACGAGAGGACCGGGAUGGACAUACCUCUGGUGUACCAGUUGUCGUGCCAACGGCAUAGCUGGGUAGCUAUGUGUGGACGGGAUAAGUGCUGAAAGCAUCUAAGCAUGAAGCCCCCCUCAAGAUGAGAUUUCCCAACUUCGGUUAUAAGAUCCCUCAAAGAUGAUGAGGUUAAUAGGUUCGAGGUGGAAGCAUGGUGACAUGUGGAGCUGACGAAUACUAAUCGAUCGAAGACUUAAUCAA
rnacentral:rRNA from 1 species